rnacentral:rRNA from 1 species
UGGGGAAUCUUGGACAAUGGGGGCAACCCUGAUCCAGCGAUGCCGCGUGGGUGAAGAAGGCCUUCGGGUUGUAAAGCCCUUUAGGUUGGGACGAAGGUUGCGGGAGGAUAAUUCCCGUAACUUGACGGUACCAGCAGAAUAAGCACCGGCAAACUCUGUGCCAGCAGCCGCGGUAAUACAGAGGGUGCAAGCGUUAAUCGGAGUUACUGGGCGUAAAGGGCGCGUAGGCGGUUUGUUGGGUGUGAUGUGAAAGCCUUGGGCUUAACCUGAGAAGUGCAUCGCAAACUAAUAGACUGGAGUAUAUGAGAGGGUGGCGGAAUUUCCGGUGUAGCGGUGAAAUGCGUAGAGAUCGGAAGGAACGUCAAUGGCGAAGGCAGCCACCUGGCAUAAUACUGACGCUGAGGCGCGAAAGCGUGGGGAGCGAACAGGAUUAGAUACCCCCGUAGUCC